rnacentral:rRNA from 1 species
UACGAAGGGGGCUAGCGUUGCUCGGAAUUACUGGGCGUAAAGGGCGCGUAGGCGGCGCGAUAAGUUGGGCGUGAAAGGCCCGGGCUCAACCCGGGGACUGCGCUUGAUACUGUCGCGCUGUGAGUCCGGGAGAGGAUGGCGGAAUUCCCAGUGUAGAGGUGAAAUUCGUAGAUAUUGGGAAGAACACCGGUGGCGAAGGCGGCCAUCUGGACCGGCACUGACGCUGAGGCGCGAAAGCGUGGGGAGCGAACAGG